AACGAACGCUGGCGGCAUGCCUAACACAUGCAAGUCGAACGAGACCUUCGGGUCUAGUGGCGCACGGGUGCGUAACGCGUGGGAAUCUGCCCUUGGGUACGGAAUAACAGCGAGAAAUUGCUGCUAAUACCGUAUAAUGACGUAAGUACCAAAGAUUUAUCGCCCAGGGAUGAGCCCGCGUAGGAUUAGCUUGUUGGUGAGGUAAAAGCUCACCAAGGCGACGANCCUUAGCUGGUCUGAGAGGAUGAUCAGCCACACUGGGACUGAGACACGGCCC
rnacentral:rRNA from 1 species